rnacentral:lncRNA from 1 species
CGUGCCAAUACUGGCCUAUUAGACUGUCCCCCUCCUUCCCCCCGAGUGAAAUGAAGAAACUCUGAUUAGAGAGGUUUAAAUAACUUGACCAAGACAUGGGACACGUGAGCGUCAUGGCGAGGGACUGAACCUUGAUUGCUCUGACUUCAACUCCUGAGAUUCUAACGAUGGUCCUCCACCGCUGCUCAGAUCAAGGUUAAUGACAUCUUCAUUUCUACAUUUCUCUGACAUGUUGUAUUGACUCUUCUUCAUUUUGCUGUUAGCAUUCCAGUAUAAGCUUUCUGGUUGCUUCCUCACUGCAUGCUGAUAUGAUUUGGCUGUAUCUUCACCCACAUCUCAUUUUGUAUUGUAG